rnacentral:rRNA from 1 species
AUACGUAGGGGGCGAGCGUUGUCCGGAAUGAUUGGGCGUAAAGGGCGCGUAGGCGGCCCGGUAAGUCUGGAGUGAAAGUCCUGUUUUUAAGAUGGGAAUUGCUUUGGAUACUGUCGGGCUUGAGUGCAGGAGAGGUAAGUGGAAUUCCCAGUGUAGCGGUGAAAUGCGUAGAGAUUGGGAGGAACACCAGUGGCGAAGGCGACUUACUGGACUGUAACUGACGCUGAGGCGCGAAAGUGUGGGGAGCAAACAGGAUUAGAUACCCUGGUAGUCCACACUGUAAACGAUGAAUGCUAGGUGUAAGGGGUAUCGACCCCUUCUGUGCCGCAGUCAACACAAUAAGCAUUCCGCCUGGGGAGUACGGCCGCAAGGUUGAAACUCAAAGGAAUUGACGGGG